CUCAGGAUGAACGCUGGCGGCGUGCUUAACACAUGCAAGUCGAACGAUGAAGCCCAGCUUGCUGGGUGGAUUAGUGGCGAACGGGUGAGUAACACGUGAGUAACCUGCCCUUGACUCUGGGAUAAGCCUGGGAAACUGGGUCUAAUACCGGAUAGGAACGUCCACCGCAUGGUGGUUGUUGGAAAGAUUUAUCGGUCAUGGAUGGACUCGCGGCCUAUCAGCUUGUUGGUGAGGUAAUGGCUCACCAAGGCGACGACGGGUAGCCGGCCUGAGAGGGUGACCGGCCACACUGGGACUGAGACACGGCCCAGACUCCUACGGGAGGCAGCAGUGGGGAAUAUUGCACAAUGGGCGAAAGCCUGAUGCAGCGACGCCGCGUGAGGGAUGACGGCCUUCGGGUUGUAAACCUCUUUCAGUAGGGAAGAAGCGAAAGUGACGGUACCUGCAGAAGAAGCACCGGCUAACUACGUGCCAGCAGCCGCGGUAAUACGUAGGGUGCGAGCGUUAUCCGGAAUUAUUGGGCGUAAAGAGCUCGUAGGCGGUUUGUCGCGUCUGUCGUGAAAGUCCGGGGCUUAACCCCGGAUCUGCGGUGGGUACGGGCAGACUAGAGUGCAGUAGGGGAGACUGGAAUUCCUGGUGUAGCGGUGGAAUGCGCAGAUAUCAGGAGGAACACCGAUGGCGAAGGCAGGUCUCUGGGCUGUAACUGACGCUGAGGAGCGAAAGCAUGGGGAGCGAACAGGAUUAGAUACCCUGGUAGUCCAUGCCGUAAACGUUGGGCACUAGGUGUGGGGACCAUUCCACGGUUUCCGCGCCGCAGCUAACGCAUUAAGUGCCCCGCCUGGGGAGUACGGCCGCAAGGCUAAAACUCAAAGGAAUUGACGGGGGCCCGCACAAGCGGCGGAGCAUGCGGAUUAAUUCGAUGCAACGCGAAGAACCUUACCAAGGCUUGACAUGUUCUCGAUCGCCGUAGAGAUACGGUUUCCCCUUUGGGGCGGGAUCACAGGUGGUGCAUGGUUGUCGUCAGCUCGUGUCGUGAGAUGUUGGGUUAAGUCCCGCAACGAGCGCAACCCUCGUUCCAUGUUGCCAGCACGUAAUGGUGGGGACUCAUGGGAGACUGCCGGGGUCAACUCGGAGGAAGGUGGGGACGACGUCAAAUCAUCAUGCCCCUUAUGUCUUGGGCUUCACGCAUGCUACAAUGGCCGGUACAAUGGGUUGCGAUACUGUGAGGUGGAGCUAAUCCCAAAAAAGCCGGUCUC
rnacentral:rRNA from 1 species